rnacentral:rRNA from 1 species
GGCAGACGGGUGAGGAGCGCGUAUCUGACUGGACUCAGGCUGGGGGAUAGUCCCUCGAAAGGGGGUUGAAUACCGCAUGUGCUCGGUGCUGUGAGGGCAUCGAGGAAAGUUGGCCUCUGCGGGCACGCUGAUGGCCUGAGACAGGGAUGCGUCCUAUUAGCUAGCUGGUGGGGUAAGGGCCUACCAGGGCGACGAUGGGUAGCUGGUCUGAGAGGAUGAUCAGCCACACUGGGACUGCGACACGGCCCAGACUCCUACGGGAGGCAGCAGUGGGGAAUUUUGCGCAAUGGGCGCAAGCCUGACGCAGCAACGCCGCGUGCAUGACGACGCCUUUCGAGGUGUAAAGUGCUGUCGACCGGGACGAAGGGGCGAGGGUGAACAGCUUUCGCGCAUGACGGUACCGGUGGAGGAAGCCCCGGCUAACUCCGUGCCAGCAGCCGCGGUAAGACGGAGGGGGCGAGCGUUGUUCGGAAUUACUGGGCGUAAAGCGCGCGUAGGCGGUGCAGCAAGUGGUGCGUGAAAGCCCUCGGCUUAACCGGGGACGGGCGUGCCAAACUGUUGGACUGGAGUGCCGGAGGGGGAGGCGGAAUUCCUGGUGGAGCGGUGAAAUGCGUAGAGAUCAGGAAGAACGUCGGUGGCGAAGGCGGCCUCCUGGACGGACACUGACGCUGAGGUGCGACAGCGUGGGGAGCGAACGGGAUUAGAUACCCCAGUAGUCCUGGCCGUAAACGAUGGAUACUAGGUGUUGCGGGUAUCGACCCCUGCAGUGCCGUAGUUAACGCGAUAAGUAUCCCGCCUGGGGAGUACGCACGCAAGUGUGAAACUCAAAGGAAUUGACGGGGGCCCGCACAAGCGGUGGAACAUGUGGUUUAAUUCGAAGCAACGCGAAGAACCUUACCAGGACUUGACAUCCCGAGAAGUUUGGGGAAACUCGAAUGUGCCCUUCGGGGAACUCGGUGACAGGUGGUGCAUGGUUGUCGUCAGCUCGUGUCGUGAGAUGUUGGGUUAAGUCCCGCAACGAGCGCAACCCUCGUUGUUAGUUGCUAACAAGAGCCUGCUCUUGCUUAGCUCUCUAGCGAGACUGCCGGUGAUAAACCGGAGGAAGGUGGGGAUGACGUCAAAUCAUCAUGCCCCUUAUGUUCUGGGCUACACACGUGUUACAAUGGGUAGGACAACGAGCAGCCAACUAGCAAUAGUGAGCGAAUCUCUUAAACCUAUCCUUAGUUCGGAUCGGAGUCUGCAACUCGACUCCGUGAAGCCGGGAUCGCUAGUAACCGCAGAUCAGCACGCUGCGGUGAAUACGUUCCUGGGCAUUGUACACACCGCCCGUCACACCAUGGAAGUUGNCACGCCCAAAGUCAGUGUGCUAACCCUCUGGGAAGCAGCUGCCUAAGGCAG